GCGGAAGUAGCUCAGUUGGUUAGAGCGUCGGUUUGUGGUACCGAAUGUCGAGAGUUCGAGUCCCUUCUUCCGCCCCA
rnacentral:tRNA from 1 species